GGAGAGGUGGCAGAGCGGUUGAAUGCGGCGGUCUCGAAAACCGUUUCGGGCGUUAUGCGUCCGACGAGGGUUCGAAUCCCUCCCUCUCCU
rnacentral:tRNA from 4 species